UCCCAACCACAAGCUCAAAACACAAUGAGGUAUAAGCCUGAAAUGAUUUACUUAACUUUAUUACAUUAAUCAGCUAACAAGAUCUUCUCCAAUUUUGAAGUCUGGGAAAACCCAGUUAUUACCUUCUUACUAUGCCUUCCCAAAAUUGUCCCAUUUGCUGGCACGUUAAAAGAUUCUAAGAAUGUUCUAAAGAAACAAAUUCACCUCUACGAAUGAGUAUGCCCUGAACUUACAAAUUGUUUUCUUUUAUUUUCCUUCUCCCUGAAUUUAUUUUCAAUUAAAAUAAAUUUCAUCCUUGAAUGUAUGUACAUAACUCCGUGGUCAGGACCUGUCCUCCUAUCAUCAAAUAUACAUAUUGAAAUCCUUAAAGAUUGUGCUUAUACUUUAAGGCAAAUUACCUUUGCUAGCAUACCAAAAACCCCAGGGUGGGUGUAUUAAAAACUAUAAGGACAUUCUGCUUUUACUUUUUUAGCCAAAUGGACAUGUUUUAUUCAGGAUGCUGAAACAAAAUCCUUAUUCAGCUCAUCCACAUUACCUUUGGGGAUCAGCCAUUUUUUCCUAAAUCCUAGAGGUCUUAGUGCCUCUUAUGUGUCCUUUCCCUCCUCCAUCCCCACCUCCAGGGCCCUUUACCUCUUCACCCUCAUCCCUUCACUCCUUCACCCUGGCUCCCUGCACUGGUCAGCUCUCUCCUGCCAGAAGGCUUCAGUGAGUUCCAGCACCCUUUAACAUCAGUUGCUGAUUCCCCUUCAGGAUCUUAAUUUUCUUCACAGGGUAAACUUACCUCCCUCCCAUUCAGAGGAUGGCGAUGACACCUGUAUAUACCCUAUAUCUCUUAGCAUCAUAGCCUCUCUGUUGCAGCUAUCAUUACAGAUGCCACUUGACAUUUAAUGAAGUCAUUUUUUCUUGUUUCUAUCAUGUAGCAGUACUGAAGUCAGGGAUCAUAAUUUCUUCCCCAUUAUCAACCUCAAGCAUCUAUAUGCCUACCACAAAAUAGGUACAUAUUCUCUGUGAACUGAGUAAUAAUAGAUGAAAGGCAGUCAGACCACACCAACACUAGCACACCUCCAGAAGACAGAACAUGUGAGUAAACACAGAUCAUCUUUCUGUGAACUCUGUGAUCCAGUAGCAUUUAUAGUGGCUCAAGUUGUUGUUUAGCUUUGUUUUCCAAGAGCUUAGUAACACUCUCCAGUAUGUAUAUGUAAACACACACACAAAGGUAACAGUAUUUUUAGUGGUUAAAACUGCUAUCCAGAACAGGCAUAAAUUGGGGCAUUGUUUUGGUGGUGGUUGUUUUUAAUAACCUAUGUUUUUAAAAGUCUCUGAGAGCUAAAGACUACUUUGCAUUAUGAUCCUGCAGGAAAAGUCUGAGUUGAGCAGAGUUAGAUAGAGAUCUCAGGAUGCUGAAGGAAGCUGAUGAAAACAUUAGGUCCAUACAUUCAGACAACAGUUCCUGAUGAUAAACCUCAUUUUCCUUCUGGCAGUUUCUCCAGAGAUGGUGAAAAAGAAGAGCAAACUUUAAUUAAAAUGUAAUAGCCACCAGUGUAGGAUAGGCUGUAGAUACUCAUUUUAUCUCUGUUUUUUUUUUUUACUAUUCUGACUUGUGUAAAUUUUUUUUAAAAAUAGAAGCAGGUUUUUCAAGCAGAAAACCUACUUUACAUUGGCUUUGGGUGUCCUCUUCAUUAACUGGUUUUUUCACAUGUGACAGGGGAAUAAUGCUGACAAUCACCACUGAGGAAUAAGAAAUCAGUUACAGAAAGUGUGUAGCCCUGAGUGGUCUCACAGUGUCUGCCCCUCCUCUCCUGGUAAAACUCCAUUUUAUGCAGCCCAUACUUUACCCAGUUAUCUGUAUGAUGAAAUUACUCUAACAUCAUUUAUUUUAACUUAAGAAAACUGAAAGUAGUUUUCAAAGAGAGAGAAGGACUUUCUUUUUCUCAACAAAGUGUUUGCCUUUUAAAUUUACACACACACAAAAUGUUUG
ensembl:lncRNA